rnacentral:rRNA from 1 species
UGGGGAAUCUUGGACAAUGGGGGCAACCCUGAUCCAGCCAUGCCGCGUGAGUGAUGAAGGCCUUAGGGUCGUAAAGCUCUUUCGCCUGUGAAGAUAAUGACGGUAGCAGGUAAAGAAACCCCGGCUAACUCCGUGCCAGCAGCCGCGGUAAUACGGAGGGGGUUAGCGUUGUUCGGAAUUACUGGGCGUAAAGCGCACGUAGGCGGACCAGAAAGUUGGGGGUGAAAUCCCGGGGGCUCAACCCCGGAACUGCCUCCAAAACUAUUGGUCUAGAGUUCGAGAGAGGUGAGUGGAAUUCCAAGUGUAGAGGUGAAAUUCGUAGAUAUUUGGAGGAACACCAGUGGCGAAGGCGGCUCACUGGCUCGAUACUGACGCUGAGGUGCGAAAGUGUGGGGAGCAAACAGGAUUAGAUGCCCUGGUAGUCCACACCGUAAAACGAUGAAUGCCAGUCGUCGGGUAGCAUGCUAUUCGGUGACACACCU